ensembl:lincRNA
UGAGUUGAGGGUUUCCAAAGAUCUAAAAUCAGCAGCUGCUAACUCGACAUGUGACUCAGAGUAAACCACUUUCCUGGUAGGUCUCACUUUGCCCAAAAAUGUAAUAAGAGGAUCUCUUGGGACUCUUGGCUUGAAUACUGUUGGGUUGUGAGUAAGCUGGACUCAUUUCAGGACUCUGAGCAGAGUUCUCAGGUCUGUAAGCCAAGCCACUUCUGUUUCUCUUUGGGUUGCUAUAAAGUACAGACGAUUCUACCAACCUUGACACAAAUGCCCAGCUGCCCCCAGUUCAGUGCCACAGAGAAAAGCCUUGCAGAACAGGUUGAGUUUGUAGAUGGGCAUGCGGUAGACGGUAUCAUCUCUUCUCUAUCAAUGACUUGGGUGAUACUUCUGGCAACAAAACAGACAGUGAUGUUCAGUGAAGGUCUGGGCCUUCCAAUUAUUCACUGAAAUAAUGAAUUCCUGCUACUCUGAUGGC